AAUAGAUACCCGGGUAGUCCAUGCCGUAAACGAUGUCUACUAGCCGUUGGGGUCUUUGAGACUUUAGUGGCGCAGCUAACGCGAUAAGUAGACCGCCUGGGGAGUACGGUCGCAAGACUAAAACUCAAAUGAAUUGACGGGGGCCCGCACAAGCGGUGGAGCAUGUGGUUUAAUUCGAUGCAACGCGAAGAACCUUACCUGGUCUUGACAUAGUAAGAACUUUCCAGAGAUGGAUUGGUGCCUUCGGGAACUUACAUACAGGUGCUGCAUGGCUGUCGUCAGCUCGUGUCGUGAGAUGUUGGGUUAAGUCCCGCAACGAGCGCAACCCUUUUCCUACUUGCCAGCAUUUCGGAUGGGAACUUUAAGGAUACUGCCAGUGACAAACUGGAGGAAGGCGGGGACGACGUCAAGGUCAUCAUGGCCCUUAACGACCAGGGCUACACACGUGCUACAAUGGUCGGUACAAAGGGUUGCUACCUAGCGAUAGGAUGCUAAUCUCAAAAAGCCGAUCGUAGUCCGGAUUGGAGU
rnacentral:rRNA from 1 species